rnacentral:misc_RNA from 1 species
ACACCUCAACUCCUCAUGGCUUGCCAUGAUGAGCUUGGACUUUGGGGGACUUGCUGGCCUGCAGUCAGCUCCUCUCAAAUGAAUCAGCUUACCAGUGUUUGGUGGCACCACAGGUGUGAUAAACAUCUACUCUUGUGGCUUUCCGCCAGGUAACCUUCAGCAAUGGAGGUUCACCGGAGCUCAUAAACGUCUCUCCUCAGUGAGGACAGAUUUUGACC